GGGAGUGUAGUUUACUGGUAGAGCACUUGCCUGUCAUACACAAGGGCCUGGGUUUGAUUCCUAGCACUGCUC
rnacentral:tRNA from 1 species